AGAUAGUGAUGUAGGUUAGUUGGGUUAGGUUAGAUAGUGAUGUAGGUUAGUUGGGUUAGGUUAGAUAGUGAUGUAGGUUAGCUGGGUUAGGUUAGAUAGUGAUGUAGGUUAGCUGGAUUAGGUUAGAUAGUGAUGUAGGUUAGUUGGGUUAGGUUAGAUAGUGAUGUAGGUUAGCUGGGUUAGGUUAGAUAGUGAUGUAGGUUAGCUGGAUUAGGUUAGAUAGUGAUGUAGGUUAGCUGGGUUAGGUUAGAUAGUGAUGUAGGUUAGUUGGGUUAGGUUAGAUAGUGAUGUAGGUUAGAUGGGUUAGGUUAGAUUGUGAUGUAGGUUAGCUGGGUUAGGUUAGAUAGUGAUGUAGGUUAGCUGGGUUAGGUUAGAUAGUGAUGUAGGUUAGCUGGAUUAGGCUAGAUAGUGAUUUAGGUUAGCUGGGUUAUGUUAGAUAGUGAUGUAGGUUAGCUGGAUUGGGUUAGAUGGUGAUGUAGGUUAGUUGGGUUAGGUUGGAUAGUGAUGUAGGUUAGCUGGGUUAAGUUAGAUAGUGAUGUAGGUUAGCUGGGUUAAGUUAGAUAGUGAUGUAGGUUAGCUGGGUUAGGUUAGAUAGUGAUGUAGGUUAGCUGGGUUAGGUUAGAUAGUGAUGUAGGUUAGCUGGGUUAGGAUAGAUAGUGAUGUAGGUUAGCUGGAUUGGGUUAGAUAGUGAUGUAGGUUAGCUGGGUUAGGUUAGAUAGUGAUGUAGGUUAGCUGGGUUAGGAUAGAUAGUGAUGUAGCUUAGCUGGGUUAGGUUAGAUAGUGAUGUAGGUUAGCUGGGUUAGGUUAGAUAGUGAUGUAGGUUAGCUGGAUUGGGUUAGAUAGUGAUGUAGGUUAGCUGGAUUGGGUUAGAUAGUGAUGUAGGUUAGCUGGGUUAGGUUAGAUAGUGAUGUAGGUUAGCUGGAUUGGGUUAGAUAGUGAUGUAGGUUACACGGGUUAGGUUAGAUAGUGAUGUAGGUUAGCUGGUUAAGGUUAGAUAGUGAUGUAGGUUAGAUGGGUUAGGUUAGAUAGUGAUGUAGGUUAGCUGGGUUAGGUAGUGAUGUAGGUGAGUUGGGUUAGGUUAGAUAGUGAUGUAGGUUAGCUUGGUUAGUUUAGAUAGUGAUGUAGGUUAGCUGGGUUAGGUUAGACAGUAAUGUAGGUUAGCUGGAUUGGGUUAGAUUGUGAUGUAGGUUAGCUGGGUUAGGUUAGAUAGUGAUGUAGGUUAGCUGGGUUAGGUUAGAUAGUGAUGUAGGUUAGCUGGGUUAGGUUAGAUAGUGAUGUAGGUUAGCUGGUUAAGGUUAGAUAGUGAUGUAGGUUAGCUGGGUUAGGUUAGGUAGUGAUGUAGGUUAGCUGGGUUAGGUUUGAUAGUGAUGUAGGUUAGUUGGGUUAGGUUAGAUAGUGAUGUAGGUUAGCUGGGUUAAGUUAGAUAGUGAUGUAGGUUAGCUUGGUUAGGUUAGAUAGUGAUGUAGGUUAGCUGGGUUAGGUUUGAUAGUAUUGUAGGUUAGUUGGGUUAGGUUAGAUAGUGAUGUAGGUUAGCUGGGUUAGGUUAGAUAGUGAUGUAGGUUAGCUGGGUUAGGUUUGAUAGUGAUGUAGGUUAGUUGGGUUAGGUUAGAUGGUGAUGUAGGUUAGCUGGAUUGGGUUAGAUGGUGAUGUAGGUUAGUUGGGUUAGGUUGGAUAGUGAUGUAGGUUAGCUGGGUUAAGUUAGAUAGUGAUGUAGGUUAGCUGGGUUAAGUUAGAUAGUGAUGUAGGUUAGCUGGGUUAGGUUAGAUAGUGAUGUAGGUUAGCUGGGUUAGGAUAGAUAGUGAUGUAGCUUAGCUGGGUUAGGUUAGAUAGUGAUGUAGGUUAGCUGGGUUAGGUUAGAUAGUGAUGUAGGUUAGCUGGAUUGGGUUAGAUAGUGAUGUAGGUUAGCUGGAUUGGGUUAGAUAGUGAUGUAGGUUAGCUGGGUUAGGUUAGAUAGUGAUGUAGGUUAGCUGGGUUAGGUUAGAUAGUAAUGUAGGUUAGCUGGAUUGGGUUAGAUAGUGAUGUAGGUUAAUUGGGUUAGGUUAGAUAGUGAUGUAGGUUAGCUGGGUUAGGUUUGAUAGUGAUGGAGGUUAGUUGGGUUAGGUUAGAUAGUGAUGUAGGUUAGCUGGGUUAAGUUAGAUAGUGAUGUAGGUUAGCUGGGUUUGGUUAGAUAGUGAUGUAGGUUAGCUGGGUUAAGGUUAGAUAGUGAUGUAGGUUAGCUGGGUUAGGUUUGAUAGUGAUGUAGGUUAGUUGGGUUAGGUUAGAUAGUGAUGUAGGUUAGCUGGGUUAGGUUAGAUAGUGAUGUAGGUUAGCUGGGUUAGGUUAGAUAGUGAUGUAGGUUAGCUGGGGUUAAGUUAGAUAGUGAUGUAGGUUAGCUGGGUUAGGUUAGAUAGUGAUGUAGGUUAGCUGGGUUAGGUUAGAUAGUGAUGUAGGUUAGUUGGGUUUGGUUAGAUAGUGAUGUAGGUUAGUUGGGUUAGGUUAGAUAGUGAUGUAGGUUAGUUGGGUUAGGUUAGAUAGUGAUGUAGGUUAGCUGGGUUAGGUUAGAUAGUGAUGUAGGUUAGCUGGAUUAGGUUAGAUAGUGAUGUAGGUUAGUUGGGUUAGGUUAGAUAGUGAUGUAGGUUAGCUGGAUUAGGUUAGAUAGUGAUGUAGGUUAGCUGGGUUAGGUUAAAUAGUGAUGUAGGUUAGUUGGGUUAGGUUAGAUAGUGAUGUAGGUUAGAUGGGUUAGGUUAGAUUGUGAUGUAGGUUAGCUGGGUUAGGUUAGAUAGUGAUGUAGGUUAGCUGGGUUAGGUUAGAUAGUGAUGUAGGUUAGCUGGAUUAGGCUAGAUAGUGAUUUAGGUUAGCUGGGUUAUGUUAGAUAGUGAUGUAGGUUAGUUGGGUUAGGUUAGAUAGUGAUGUAGGUUAGAUGGGUUAGGUUAGAUUGUGAUGUAGGUUAGCUGGGUUAGGUUAGAUAGUGAUGUAGGUUAGCUGGGUUAGGUUAGAUAGUGAUGUAGGUUAGCUGAGUUAGGUUAGAUAGUGAUGUAGGUUAGCUGGGUUAGGUUUGAUAGUGAUGUAGGUUAGUUGGGUUAGGUUAGAUAGUGAUGUAGGUUAGCUGGGUUAGGUUAGAUAGUGAUGUAGGUUAGCUGGGUUAGGUUAGAUAGUGAUGUAGGUUAGUUGGGUUAGGUUAGAUAGUGAUGUAGGUUAGCUGGGUUAGGUUAGAUAGUGAUGUAGGUUAGCUGGGUUAGGUUAGAUAGUGAUGUAGGUUAGCUGGGUUAGGUUAGAUAGUGAUGUAGGUUUGCUUGGUUAGGUUAGAUAGUGAUGUAGGUUAGCUGGGUUAGGUUUGAUAGUAUUGUAGGUUAGUUGGGUUAGGUUAGAUAGUGAUGUAGGUUAGCUGGGUUAGGUUAGAUAGUGAUGUAGGUUAGCUGGGUUAGGUUUGAUAGUGAUGUAGGUUAGUUGGGUUAGGUUAGAUGGUGAUGUAGGUUAGCUGGAUUGGGUUAGAUGGUGAUGUAGGUUAGUUGGGUUAGGUUGGAUAGUGAUGUAGGUUAGCUGGGUUAAGUUAGAUAGUGAUGUAGGUUAGCUGGGUUAAGUUAGAUAGUGAUGUAGGUUAGCUGGGUUAGGUUAGAUAGUGAUGUAGGUUAGCUGGGUUAGGAUAGAUAGUGAUGUAGCUUAGCUGGGUUAGGUUAGAUAGUGAUGUAGGUUAGCAGGGUUAGGUUAGAUAGUGAUGUAGGUUAGCUGGAUUGGGUUAGAUAGUGAUGUAGGUUAGCUGGAUUGGGUUAGAUAGUGAUGUAGGUUAGCUGGGUUAGGUUAGAUAGUGAUGUAGGUUAGCUGGGUUAGGUUAGAUAGUAAUGUAGGUUAGCUGGAUUGGGUUAGAUAGUGAUGUAGGUUACACGGGUUAGGUUAGAUAGUGAUGUAGGUUAGCUGGUUAAGGUUAGAUAGUGAUGUAGGUUAGCUGGGUUAGGUUAGGUAGUGAUGUAGGUUAGCUGGGUUAGGUAGUGAUGUAGGUGAGUUGGGUUAGGUUAGAUAGUGAUGUAGGUUAGCUGGGUUAGGUUAGAUAGUGAUGUAGGUUAGCUGGGUUAGGUUAGACAGUAAUGUAGGUUAGCUGGAUUGGGUUAGAUAGUGAUGUAGGUUACCUGGGUUAGGUUAGAUAGUGAUGUAGGUUAGCUGGUUAAGGUUAGAUAGUGAUGUAGGUUAGCUGGGUUAGGUUAGGUAGUGAUGUAGGUUAGCUGGGUUAGGUAGUGAUGUAGGUUAGUUGGGUUAGGUUAGAUAGUGAUGUAGGUUAGCUGGGUUAGGUUAGAUAGUGAUGUAGGUUAGUUGGGUUAGGUUAGAUAGUGAUGUAGGUUAGCUGGGUUAGGUUAGAUAGUGAUGUAGGUUAGCUGGAUUGGGUUAGAUAGUGAUGUAGGUUAGCUGGAUUGGGUUAGAUAGUGAUGUAGGUUAAUUGGGUUAGGUUAGAUAGUGAUGUAGGUUAGCUGGGUUAGGUUUGA